rnacentral:snoRNA from 1 species
AGACCAUGAUGAGAGCACUGCUUAAACAAGUCCUUGUAUCGUUCCUAGGACUCAUACAAUGAUUCAAAAUCUAGCUACAUAAAUAAUGUGAUAUCAUUCCUCAUUUU